rnacentral:misc_RNA from 1 species
UAGAGUUAUAAAAACUCCAAAACCCAUGUGAACAUACCUAUUGUUGCCUCGGCAGGUCGUGCUACCCUGUAGGAACUUACCCUGUAAGAACCUACCCGGUAGUACAUACCAGGCCUGCCGAAGGACCCAAAACGCUUGUUAUAAUUGGAACUCUGAGUAACUAUAUAAUAAGUUA